rnacentral:rRNA from 1 species
AGUGAACGCUGGCGGUAGGCCUAACACAUGCAAGUCGAACGGCAGCACAGUAAGAGCUUGCUCUUACGGGUGGCGAGUGGCGGACGGGUGAGGAAUACAUCGGAAUCUACUUUUUCGCGGGGGAUAACGUAGGGAAACUUACGCUAAUACCGCAUACGACCUACGGGUGAAAGCAGGGGAUCUUCGGACCUUGCGCGAUUGAAUGAGCCGAUGUCGGAUUAGCUAGUUGGCGGGGUAAAGGCCCACCAAGGCGACGAUCCGUAGCUGGUCUGAGAGGAUGAUCAGCCACACUGGAACUGAGACACGGUCCAGACUCCUACGGGAGGCAGCAGUGGGGAAUAUUGGACAAUGGGCGCAAGCCUGAUCCAGCCAUACCGCGUGGGUGAAGAAGGCCUUCGGGUUGUAAAGCCCUUUUGUUGGGAAAGAAAAGCAGCAGGUUAAUACCCCGCUGUUCUGACGGUACCCAAAGAAUAAGCACCGGCUAACUUUGUG